GAUGAACGCUGGCGGCGUGCCUAAUACAUGCAAGUCGAGCGAACAGACGAGGAGCUUGCUCCUCUGACGUUAGCGGCGGACGGGUGAGUAACACGUGGAUAACCUACUUAUAAGACUGGGAUAACUUCGGGAAACCGGAGAUAAUACCGGAUAAUAUAUUGAACGGCAUGGUUCAAUAGUGAAAGACGGUUUUGCUGUCACUUAUAGAUGGUUCCGCGCCGCAUUAGCUAGUUGGUAAGGUAACGGCUUACCAAGGCAACGAUGCGUAGCCGAGCUGAGAGGGUGAUCGGCCACACUGGAACUGAGACACGGUCCAGACUCCUACGGGAGGCAGCAGUAGGGAAUCUUCCGCAAUGGGCGAAAGCCUGACGGAGCAACGCCGCGUGAGUGAUGAAGGUCUUCGGAUCGUAAAGCUCUGUUAUUAGGGAAGAACAACUGUGUAAGUAACUAUGCACGUCUUGACGGUACCUAAUCAGAAAGCCACGGCUAACUACGUG
rnacentral:rRNA from 1 species